rnacentral:rRNA from 1 species
UACAGAGGGUGCAAGCGUUAAUCGGAAUUCCUGGGCGUAAAGCGUGCGUAGACGGUUAUGUAAGUCAGGUGUGAAAGCCCCCGGCUCAACUGGGGAGGGUCAUUCGAUACUGAUCGACUCGAAGGCAGGAGAGGGUAGUGGAAUUCCCGGUGUAGUGGUGAAAUGCGUAGAUAUCGGGAGGAACACCAGUGGCGAAGGCGACUACCUGGCCUGUUCUUGACGCUGAGGCGCGAAAGCUAGGGGAGCAAACGGG